rnacentral:tRNA from 1 species
GGAAGCUGUGGAAUGGUAAGACGCCUGUCUAGACACAGGAUGAACCUUCCCGUGCUUUUUAGAACAUAGAUGGCGCCAGUCAGGUGACCAUCGAAACGUAAUACGCCACGGAAUUACUUCGGUAAUCGGAUUGGUAUGGCGAGGUUCGCCGUCCACGUUUCUCUUUCUUCAAGAAGACAAAGAAGCCGCAUCGACCGGUACCGGAAUGGGCCCGUAGCUCAGUUGGUUAGAGCACACGCUUGAUAAGCGUGGGGUCGGAAGUUCAAGUCUUCCCGGGCCCACCAUUUGCAUAUGCGAAUGAGGGUUUGGGUUGAGACUGUUGGUUGAUGCGAAUUGUUGCCGCGCCUGGUUGAUGAGACCUGGGUGAUCGAGCUGGAUGGGGCUGUAGCUCAGCUGGGAGAGCACCUGCUUUGCAAGCAGGGGGUCAGCGGUUCGAUCCCGCUCAGCUCCACCAUUUAUUUGCGCUCACGGGUGAGCGGUCCUUCGGACCUACCCUCCGCGAGGGCGCCGAACGAUCGGCGACGCGCUAUCGCGCUGUACUGGAGAAUUGAUCCGGCUGCUGCGAAUUGUCUUCUGAAGAAAUAAAGGUUUGCAUCUUUUGCUAAGAAAGAUGCCUGUUUUGGAUACAUUGUGAAGAGAAGAUAUGUCUGGAAGCGUCCAGGUGUUUUGAGCCCUUGUGGUUUGAAGCGUCCGAGCCCAGUCCCUGAGAAACCGUGUGAUGGCUUAGUCGGCCGGAAUUGGUGGAGGGGUUGGAGGUAGGAAGGAUCGCUUGUCCGAGGCAUGUUUGUUGUUUGAAGGUUUAGGCCUUCAUCUGAUGGACAUGCUSGAUUGAUGUUGCCUGACCGCGCAUCACCGGAUGAUAUCUCGAGAAGCUGGUCUUAAUGAUACGACCUCGAAGUGCACCGGCGUGCCUUCAUAUGAGGAUUGUAUCGAACACGUCGAUGUCAUCGUGACUUGAUCUGGUUGUAAAAGGUAACCGGAUCUGCCGGUCAUUCCUUCGGAAUGACGGCUUGAUGAUGAGCAUAGACAAUGAGAACGAAGAAGUGAAUUAAGGCAUUUGGUGGAUGCCUGCAUGCACA